rnacentral:rRNA from 1 species
GAUGAACGCUGGCGGCGUGCCUAAUACAUGCAAGUCGAGCGAAGAGGCGAGGAGCUUGCUCCUCUGACGGUAGCGGCGGACGAGUGGGUAACACGUGGAUAACCUCCCUCUCACACUUGGAUAACUUCGGGAAACCGGAGCUAAUACCGGAGAAUAUAUUGAACCGCAUGGUUCAAUAGUGAAGGACGGUUUUUCUUUCACUUAUGGAUGGAUCCGCGCCGCAUUAGCUGGUUGGUGGGGUGACGGCUUACCAAGGCGGCGAUGCGUAGCCGACCUGAGAGGGGGGUCGGCGACCAUGGGGGUGCGGAGCCGCGCCACAGCCUCCGGGGGGCGGCAGUAGGGGAUAUUACGGAACGGGGGGAGGACGGCCGGAGCAGCGCCGCCGGGGGGGUGAAGGUCUUCGGAGCGUUAAAAUCCUUUUUUGGGGGAGAAGAAAGGUGGAAUUGACUGUGGACGGGUUGACGGUAGCUGAAUAGGAAGCCCCGGCUAACUACGUG